rnacentral:rRNA from 1 species
UACGUAGGUGGCAAGCGUUAUCCGGAUUUAUUGGGUGUAAAGGGCGUGUAGGCGGGAAUGCAAGCCAGAUGUGAAAACUCAGGGCUCAACCCUGAGCCUGCAUUUGAAACUGUAUUUCUUGAGUGCUGGAGAGGCAAUCGGAAUUCCGUGUGUAGCGGUGAAAUGCGUAGAUAUACGGAGGAACACCAGUGGCGAAGGCGGAUUGCUGGACAGUAACUGACGCUGAGGCGCGAAAGCGUGGGGAGCAAACAGG